CUUUAAAUUUAAAGAAUUUGGCGGUAUUUUAGUCUAGUUAGAGGAACCUGUUUUAUAAAUUGAUACAACACGUAAUAUCUUACUAACUUUAUUAAGAGUUUGUAUACCGUCAUUAUUAGAUAAUUUUUAUAGAAUUAAUUAUUGAAAUUAAAAAGAUUAAGUAUAUUAGAUCAAGGUGCAGCUUAUAAGUUAGGGAGAAUGGGUUACAAUAAAAUUUAUUUAAACGAAUUGAUGUAUGAAGAUAAGUCAUGAAGGUGGAUUUAAUUGUAAUAAAAGUUCAAUAAGUUUUUAUGAUAUAAGCACUAAAUUAUGUACACAUACGCCCG
rnacentral:rRNA from 1 species